rnacentral:rRNA from 1 species
AGGCGAUGAAGGGCGUGCUAAUCUGCGAUAAGCGCCGGUAAGGUGAUAUGAACCGUUAUAACCGGCGAUACCCGAAUGGGGAAACCCAGUGUGACUCGUCACACUAUCAUUAACUGAAUCCAUAGGUUAAUGAGGCGAACCGGGGGAACUGAAACAUCUAAGUACCCCGAGGAAAAGAAAUCAACCGAGAUUCCCCCAGUAGCGGCGAGCGAACGGGGAGGAGCCCAGAGCCUGAAUCAGCAUGUGUGUUAGUGGAAGCGUCUGGAAAGGCGCGCGAUACAGGGUGACAGCCCCGUACACAAAAGCGCAUGUGCUGUGAGCUCGAUGAGUAGGGCGGGACACGUGGUAUCCUGUCUGAAUAUGGGGGGACCAUCCUCCAAGGCUAAAUACUCCUGACUGACCGAUAGUGAACCAGUACCGUGAGGGAAAGGCGAAAAGAACCCCGGCGAGGGGAGUGAAAAAGAACCUGAAACCGU